rnacentral:rRNA from 1 species
GACGAACGCUGGCGGCGUGCUUAACACAUGCAAGUCGAACGGAAAGGCCCUGCUUGCAGGGUACUCGAGUGGCGAACGGGUGAGUAACACGUGGGUGAUCUGCCCUGCACUUCGGGAUAAGCUUGGGAAACUGGGUCUAAUACCGGAUAGGAACCAUCUUUAGUGUGGUGGUUGGAAAGUUUUUUCGGUGUAGGAUGAGCUCGCGGCCUAUCAGCUUGUUGGUGGGGUAAUGGCCUACCAAGGCGGCGACGGGUAGCCGGCCUGAGAGGGUGUACGGCCACAUUGGGACUGAGAUACGGCCCAGACUCCUACGGGAGGCAGCAGUGGGGAAUAUUGCACAAUGGGCGCAAGCCUGAUGCAGCGACGCCGCGUGGGGGAGGAAGGCCUUCGGGUUGUAAACGCCUUUCGCUAGGGACGAAGCUUUUUGUGACGGUACCUAGAGAAGAAGCACCGGCUAACUACGUG